CUGGAGGUAUCAGAAGUGCGAAUGCUGACAUAAGUAACGAUAAAGCGGGUGAAAAGCCCGCUCGCCGGAAGACCAAGGGUUCCUGUCCAACGUUAAUCGGGGCAGGGUGAGUCGACCCCUAAGGCGAGGCCGAAAGGCGUAGUCGAUGGGAAACGGGUUAAUAUUCCCGUACUUGGUGUUACUGCGAAGGGGGGACGGAGAAGGCUAUGUUGGCCGGGCGACGGUUGUCCCGGUUUAAGCGUGUAGGUGUGUGUUCCAGGUAAAUCCGGUUCACUUUAACACUGAGGCGUGACGACGAGGCACUACGGUGCUGAAGCAACAAAUGCCCUGCUUCCAGGAAAAGCCUCUAAGCAUCAGGUAACAUCAAAUCGUACCCCAAACCGACACAGGUGGUCAGGUAGAGAAUACCAAGGCGCUUGAGAGAACUCGGGUGAAGGAACUAGGCAAAAUGGUGCCGUAACUUCGGGAGAAGGCACGCUGACACGUAGGUGAAGUGAUUUACUCAUGGAGCUGAAGUCAGUCGAAGAUACCAGCUGGCUGCAACUGUUUAUUAAAAACACAGCACUGUGCAAACACGAAAGUGGACGUAUACGGUGUGACGCCUGCCCGGUGCCGGAAGGUUAAUUGAUGGGGUCAGCGCAAGCGAAGCUCCUGAUCGAAGCCCCGGUAAACGGCGGCCGUAACUAUAACGGUCCUAAGGUAGCGAAAUUCCUUGUCGGGUAAGUUCCGACCUGCACGAAUGGCGUAAUGAUGGCCAGGCUGUCUCCACCCGAGACUCAGUGAAAUUGAACUCGCUGUGAAGAUGCAGUGUACCCGCGGCAAGACGGAAAGACCCCGUGAACCUUUACUAUAGCUUGACACUGAACAUUGAGCCUUGAUGUGUAGGAUAGGUGGGAGGCUUUGAAGUGUGGACGCCAGUCUGCAUGGAGCCGGCCUUGAAAUACCACCCUUUAAUGUUUGAUGUUCUAACGUGGACCCGUGAUCCGGGUUGCGGACAGUGUCUGGUGGGUAGUUUGACUGGGGCGGUCUCCUCCUAAAGAGUAACGGAGGAGCACGAAGGUUGGCUAAUCCUGGUCGGACAUCAGGAGGUUAGUGCAAUGGCAUAAGCCAGCUUGACUGCGAGCGUGACGGCGCGAGCAGGUGCGAAAGCAGGUCAUAGUGAUCCGGUGGUUCUGAAUGGAAGGGCCAUCGCUCAACGGAUAAAAGGUACUCCGGGGAUAACAGGCUGAUACCGCCCAAGAGUUCAUAUCGACGGCGGUGUUUGGCACCUCGAUGUCGGCUCAUCACAUCCUGGGGCUGAAGUAGGUCCCAAGGGUAUGGCUGUUCGCCAUUUAAAGUGGUACGCGAGCUGGGUUUAGAACGUCGUGAGACAGUUCGGUCCCUAUCUGCCGUGGGCGCUGGAGAACUGAGGGGGGCUGCUCCUAGUACGAGAGGACCGGAGUGGACGCAUCACUGGUGUUCGGGUUGUCAUGCCAAUGGCACUGCCCGGUAGCUAAAUGCGGAAGAGAUAAGUGCUGAAAGCAUCUAAGCACGAAACUUGCCCCGAGAUGAGUUCUCCCUGAGACUUAGAGUCUCCUGAAGGAACGUUGAAGACGACGACGUUGAUAGGCCGGGUGUGUAAGCGCAGCGAUGCGUUGAGCUAACCGGUACUAAUGAACCGUGAGGCUUAACCUUACA
rnacentral:rRNA from 1 species